rnacentral:rRNA from 1 species
GCGAGUCACGCCGCAAGGCGUGGCAUACGGCUCAGUAACACGUAGUCAACAUACCCAGGGGACGUGGAUAACCUCGGGAAACUGAGGAUAAACCGCGAUAGGCCAAGAUUUCUGGAAUAGAUCAUGGCUGAAAUCUAUACGGCCUCUGGAUUGGACUGCGGCCGAUCAGGCUGUUGGUGAGGUAAUGGCCCACCAAACCUAUAACCGGUACGGGCUUUGAGAGAAGGAGCCCGGAGAUGGGCACUGAGACAAGGGCCCAGGUCCUAUGGGGCGCAGCAGGCGCGAAACCUCUGCAAUAGGCGAAAGCUUGACAGGGUUACUCUGAGUGAUGUCCGUUAAGGGCAUCUUUUGGCACCUCUAAAAAUGGUGCAGAAUAAGGGGUGGGCAAGUCUGGUGUCAGCCGCCGCGGUAAUACCAGCACCCCGAGUGGUCGGGACGAUUAUUGGGCCUAAAGCAUCCGUAGCUUGUUCUGCAAGUCUUCCGUUAAAUCCACCUGCUCAACAGAUGGGCUGCGGGGGAUACUACAGGGCUAGGAGGCGGGAGAGGCAAGCGGUACUCAGUGGGUAGGGGUAAAAUCCACUGAUCCACUGAAGACCACCAGUGGCGAAGGCGGCUUGCCAGAACGCGCUCGACGGUGGGGGAUGAAAGCUGGGGGAGCAAACCGGAUUAGAUACCCGGGUAGUCCCAGCUGUAAACGAUGCAGACUCGGUGAUGG